rnacentral:rRNA from 1 species
GAUAAACGCUGGCGGCGUGCUUCAGGCAUGCAAGUCGAACGGACCUUCGGGUCAGUGGCGGACGGGUGAGUAACACGUAAGCAACCUGCCCAGAAGUGGGGAAUAACCCACCGAAAGGUGAGCUAAUACCGCAUGUGAUGGCUCUUCUCUGGAGGAGUCAUUAAAGGCUUCGGUCGCUUCUGGAGGGGCUUGCGCUCGAUUAGCUAGUUGGUGGGGUAACGGCCUACCAAGGCAACGAUCGAUAGCUGGUCUGAGAGGACGGUCAGCCACACGGGGACUGAGAUACGGCCCCGACUCCUACGGGAGGCAGCAGCUAGGAAUCUUGGGAAUGGGCGGAAGCCUGACCCAGCAACGCCGCGUGGGCGAUGAAGGCCUUAGGGUCGUAAAGCCCUUUUGCGGGGGACGAUGAUGACGGUACCCCGCGAAUAAGCCACGGCUAACUACGUGCCAGCAGCCGCGGUAAUACGUUGGUGGCAAGCGUUGUCCGGAUUUACUGGGCGUAAAGGGCGCGCA